GGUGAACGCUGGCGGCGUGGAUGAGGCAUGCAAGUCGAAUGGGUUUAGACCCAUGGCAGACGAGGUAGGAACACGUAGGUACAUACCCCAAAGUCACGGAUAACCCGGCGAAAGUCGGAGUAAUACGUGAUAGUCUCUUCGGAGUAAAGAUUUAUCGCUUUGGGAAUGGCCUGCGGGCUAUCAGCUUGUUGGUACGGUAACGGCGUACCAAGGCUACGACGGCUAGGGGAGGUGAGAGCCUGACCCCCACCGAUGGAACUGCGACACGGUCCAUACUCCUACGGGAGGCCGCAGUCGAGAAUCUUCCGCAAUGGACGAAAGUCUGACGGAGCGACGCCGCGUGAUGGAUGAAGCCUUUAGGGGCGUAAACAUCUUUUAUGAAGGAGGAAGUUUAUUGACGUUACUUCAUGAAUAAGGGGCUCCCAAUUCUG
rnacentral:rRNA from 1 species